AGAGUUUGAUCCUGGCUCAGGACGAACGCUGGCGGCGUGCUUAACACAUGCAAGUCGAACGAUGAAGCCCAGCUUGCUGGGCGGAUUAGUGGCGAACGGGUGAGUAAUACGUGAGUAACCUGCCUUUAACUCUGGGAUAAGCCUUGGAAACGGGGUCUAAUACCGGAUACGACCAACCCUCGCAUGGGGUGUUGGUGGAAAGGGAUUUUGUACUGGUUUUAGAUGGGCUCACGGCCUAUCAGCUUGUUGGUGAGGUAACGGCUCACCAAGGCGACGACGGGUAGCCGGCCUGAGAGGGUGACCGGCCACACUGGGACUGAGACACGGCCCAGACUCCUACGGGAGGCAGCAGUGGGGAAUAUUGCACAAUGGGCGCAAGCCUGAUGCAGCGACGCCGCGUGAGGGAUGACGGCCUUCGGGUUGUAAACCUCUUUCAGCAGGGGAGAAGCGAAAGUGACGGUACCUGCAGAAGAAGCGCCGGCUAACUACGUGCCAGCAGCCGCGGUAAUACGUAGGGCGCGAGCGUUGUCCGGAAUUAUUGGGCGUAAAGAGCUUGUAGGCGGUUUGUCGCGUCUGCUGUGAAAACCCGGGGCUUAACCCCGGGUUUGCAGUGGGUACGGGCAGACUAGAGUGCAGUAGGGGAGACUGGAAUUCCUGGUGUAGCGGUGAAAUGCGCAGAUAUCAGGAGGAACACCAAUGGCGAAGGCAGGUCUCUGGGCUGUAACUGACGCUGAGAAGCGAAAGCAUGGGGAGCGAACAGGAUUAGAUACCCUGGUAGUCCAUGCCGUAAACGUUGGGCACUAGGUGUGGGGAACAUUCCACGUUUUCCGCGCCGUAGCUAACGCAUUAAGUGCCCCGCCUGGGGAGUACGGCCGCAAGGCUAAAACUCAAAGAAAUUGACGGGGGCCCGCACAAGCGGCGGAGCAUGCGGAUUAAUUCGAUGCAACGCGAAGAACCUUACCAAGGCUUGACAUAUACUAGACCGCCUCAGAGAUGGGGUUUCCCUUCGGGGCUGGUAUACAGGUGGUGCAUGGUUGUCGUCAGCUCGUGUCGUGAGAUGUUGGGUUAAGUCCCGCAACGAGCGCAACCCUCGUUCUAUGUUGCCAGCACGUAAUGGUGGGGACUCAUAGGAGACUGCCGGGGUUAACUCGGAGGAAGGUGGGGAUGACGUCAAGUCCUCAUGGCCCUUACGGGCUGGGCUACACACGUGCUACAAUGGCGGUGACAGUGGGCAGCGAGACCGCGAGGUCGAGCUAAUCUCCAAAAGCCAUCUCAGUUCGGAUUGCACUCUGCAACUCGAGUGCAUGAAGUUGGAAUCGCUAGUAAUCGUGGAUCAGAAUGCCACGGUGAAUACGUUCCCGGGCCUUGUACACACCGCCCGUCAAGGGC
rnacentral:rRNA from 1 species